rnacentral:rRNA from 1 species
CCUACGGGUGGCAGCAGUGAGGAAUAUUGGUCAAUGGACGAGAGUCUGAACCAGCCAAGUAGCGUGAAGGAUGACUGCCCUAUGGGUUGUACACUUCUUUUAUAUGGGAAUAAAACAGGGUAUGCAUACCCUCCUGUAUGUACCAUAUGAAUAAGGAUCGGCUAACUCCGUGCCAGCAGCCGCGGUAAUACGGAGGAUCCGAGCGUUAUCCGGAUUUAUUGGGUUUAAAGGGUGCGUAGGUGGAUUGUUAAGUCAGUUGUGAAAGUUUGCGGCUCAACCGUGAAAUUGCAGUUGAAACUGGCAGUCUUGAGUACAGUAGAGGUGGGCGGAAUUCGUGGUGUAGCGGUGAAAUGCUUAGAUAUCACGAAGAACUCCGAUUGCGAAGGCAGCUCACUGGACUGCAACUGACACUGAUGCUCGAAAGUGUGGGUAUCAAACAGGAUUAGAGACCCCGGUAGUC